UAGACAUAGAACGACCCAACAUGAUAUAAAAACUUAUACAUGUGACAUACGGGCCUAUAAGGCCGACAUGAUCAUUGGUAUGCUCAAACAUAGGCCGAUAAGGCCAUACAAGUAUCCAUAUAUGUUACAUCUAUCUACAAGCCUCUAACAGUACAUAAACGUCAUAAAGGUCGGGACAGGGCCCCGCCAUACCAAUCAAUACAUAUUCAAAGUAUACCAAAUAGGCAACUCUGGAACAAGUGGAGUUCACAAACUCCUUCCGCUGAGCUGAUAGCCUACUAGGAGAACUCUCAACCUGUCUAUCGGGACCUGCGGGCAUAAAACGCAGCGUCACCAGGCAAAAGAGACGUCAGUACAAAUAAAGUGCUGAGUAUGUAAGGCAUGAAAGAAAUAUGGAGUAAGGAACUCAACUUGUAAGUCUGAAUAGCUAUGUGAAUCAUGAAAAAUUUAUAAUGUCUUGCAUGUGCGUAUAAAUGUCAUACCAUGCAUAAGUAUAUGCGCACAUAACAUCAUCAAGCCUCUGAGGGCAUCCUAUCAUAUCAUCUCAUCCACUGUAGGCGAAAUCAUCAACGUAUACCAGCUGAUCAGGUGGUGGUGCGUAUAUAACGCCAUAACCUUUUCCAUAUCCCAUAUACAUAUAAUAUAUGCGUAUAUAAUGCUAUCUGGUCAUGAGUCAAUGUACAUGUAUAAAUGAAUGCAAUGCAUAAGGAAGUAAAUCUAUAAGAUCUCUUGGAAUAUCAUAAGACCCAUGAAUAGAAGAUAUGAUAGUAGGACAUAUGGGGAAUCAAGAACAUAGGCAACCCUAGUACUUCUAGGAAUAGAAUUAUUUGUGAAAGUUGCGUACUUGCUCAUUUCUUGCAUCAUAUGGAUCAUGCCAAAAGGAAAGAAGGGUUAACCUUAACAUACAUUAUCACAAUAUUUUCAAUCACCAAGUUGAACUCGCCUCUUUAUACCUUAAUCUAAAACAACAAUAAUAAUACUAUCAUUAAGUUACGUAAGGUACAACUAUCGCACAACGAACGACAAGCUUAUUUUGUAUUGAAACGGGCAGCAUCUCCCCUAUAAUCCUUACUUCCUUCAAAUUCAAGAUAACACCAAAUACAACAAUAUCAACAUGUAUACAUUAUUUUAUAACCUUAUAUACACCACAAAAUACUACAAAACAGCCCAACACACCCAAUCUUUUCAUAUACAAAAUGACCACCGUAGCAGUGUCAAACGGCCCGAAAAUGUUACGGCAAACGACCGGCCCACCACCCUGCAUUUAUGUUGUGUUUAUCCACAACCUUACUCCUCCAAAACUCCACAAAACAGUAGUAAAACACGCAGCCCAAUAGCAACACAAAACAAUCCACAAAAUAGUCCGCUACAAGUGAAUAACUCGAACUCACGGCUUCCGAUCACCGUCCCAUGAGUUCUAACUAUUAGAAAACGAAUUUAUAAAUCUUUCUUGAUAUUUAAAUACUUAAAUACAGAAAUUACACAUUUUCUUAACUAUUAAGUACUUUCCAAAACUCAAACUAUAAAGAAAAAGAGAGGCGAUAUAGCGAUACUUACGUCGUAGGGAUCGUUUUAAUGUUAUCGCAUCUUGAUUCCGUGCCCGGGAUGAUAAUCUUGUUUAAAGCUCUGUAGAGAGCUUAAGAGUAAACUUAGGGGUCUUAUUUGGUUGUGUGUUCU
rnacentral:lncRNA from 1 species